UUGUACGCAAACAAGAACCAGAUUUCACUUCACUUUGGUGCGUCAGGAAAGAGCCGUUGCGCAUACAUUGAGUUCCACGUCAAAACAAAACAAGACUGAUCGUCAUGUUUACAAACAAAUCUUUCUAGGUUUUGCGAGAUUGCAGCCUAAGAAUCAAUACAAAUUUCAAAUCCAUCUGUUCACUUUGUGUAAGGUCACAGCCAUCGUUCAACAGGGGACCAAAAGAACAUCACGAAGCUACCAGGUCGGGUGUUUCGGCUUCGACAGACAGCAAAGUAGUGUGCACCUUCCCGACCCAGGUAUCAAGCCGGUCACGCAGGGAUUUCACUUGGUCGAUCCCAAGGACCCUCGGUUGCGCCCAUGAAACAUGGACAGUCCCGUCGACCCCAUCAAUAAUGCCUUCGAUAAGAUGAGC
rnacentral:lncRNA from 1 species